GGAGAGUGCUAAGAAUCGCGCGGCUGGCAGGUGCGGCCACCGGGACGCGCUCGCAGGCUAGCCAGGGACGUGCGCACCUUCGGGGCGCUCCACAGCCCUGGGACGACGCCACCAGGUUUCUUCUCUUCAUUCACUCACCCACCCACCCACCCAUCCAUCCAACCGCAGCAAGCGCUGUUCUAUGAGGCCACAACCUGACCCAAAGGACCCCGCCCCCAUCGGCCGCCUAAACUCCAGAGCACGAGCAAGAAAGUGGAGGGCCACGGGCUGCAGCGUAGCCGAGUUUGAAUACUGGUUCCAUAGCUGGCUAGCUGUACGACCUCGGGCAAGUUAUCACAAAACAGGGAGAAUCCCGGCACCUAACUCGGAACGGUCACAGGCUGAGAUGAUAUUACUGUGUGAAGUGCGCAGAGCGGUGUUGGGCACAUGGUCAUCGGAACUAUAUAAGAACUGAAGCGUGGCAAGAUUAAGGAAGUUGCUCAACUUCACAUAGUCAGAACAUGACUCUAGGGAGUAGAGGCUAGCGAAGUGGGGUGCAAGAGGUCAUCCAAAUUUCUUGAAAUACCAGAUCUUUUUACCUCAUCAUAUAUGUUAGAUUGUCAGUUUUAUCGUUUUCUUCCCAGCUUUAUUAUUUGACAAAAAAUUAUAUAUAUUCAAGGUGUACAAUGUGAUGACUGGAUAUAAUUAUACAUUGUGUAAUGAUUACCAAAAUCAAAUUAAGUAAAACAUCCUUCACUAA
rnacentral:lncRNA from 1 species